rnacentral:rRNA from 1 species
UACGGGGGGGGCAAGCGUUGUUCGGAAUUACUGGGCGUAAAGGGCUCGUAGGUGGCCAACUAAGUCAGACGUGAAAUCCCUCGGCUUAACCGGGGAACUGCGUCUGAUACUGGAUGGCUUGAGUUUGGGAGAGGGACGCGGAAUUCCAGGUGUAGCGGUGAAAUGCGUAGAUAUCGGGAGGAACACCUGUGGCGAAAGCGGCGCACUGGGGCUUAACUGACGCUGAGGCACGAAAGCCAGGGUAGCGAACGGG